AACGCGAAGAACCUUACCUGGGCUUGACAUGCUGGUGAAAGCCGGUGGAAACAUCGGCCCCUCUUCGGAGCGCCAGCACAGGUGCUGCAUGGCUGUCGUCAGCUCGUGUCGUGAGAUGUUGGGUUAAGUCCCGCAACGAGCGCAACCCUCGCUCCCAGUUGCCAGCGGUUCGGCCGGGGACUCUGGGGGGACUGCCGGCGUUAAGCCGGAGGAAGGUGGGGACGACGUCAAGUCAUCACGGCCCUUACGUCCAGGGCUACACACGUGCUACAAUGCCUGGUACAGCGCGUCGCGAACCCGCGAGGGGGAGCCAAUCGCUAAAAGCCGGGCUAAGUUCGGAUUGCAGUCUGCAACUCGGCUGCAUGAAGCCGGAAUCGCUAGUAAUCGCGGAUCAGCCACGCCGCGGUGAAUACGUUCCCGGGCCUUGUA
rnacentral:rRNA from 2 species